rnacentral:rRNA from 1 species
CCUACGGGAGGCAGCAGUGGGGAAUAUUGCGCAAUGGGCGAAAGCCUGACGCAGCGACGCCGCGUGAGGGAUGAAGGUCUUCGGAUCGUACACCUCUGUCAGCAGGGAAGAACGGUCACUGUGCUAAUCAGCAGUGAAUUGACUGUACUUGCAAAGGAAGCACCGGCUAACUCCGUUCCAGCAGCCGCGGUAAUACGGAGGGGGGGUGCGUUGAUCGGAAUUACUGGGCGUAAAGCGCUCGUAGGCGGUAUGUCAAGUCAAGGGUGAAAUACCCGCGCUCAACGUGGGAACUGCCUUUGAAAAGGGCAAACUUGAGUGUGUGAGAGGAUAGUGGAAUUCCAGGGGUAGGAGUGAAAACCGGAGAAAUAUGGAGGAACAGCAGGGGCGAAGGCGACUAUCUGGCACAUAACUGACGCUGAGGAGCGAAAGCGUGGGUAGCAAACAGGAUUAGAUACCCGGGUAGUC